AGGAUAGAGGCCUACCAUGGUGGUAACGGGUAACGGGGUGUUAGGGCACGACACCGGAGAGGGAGCCUGAGAAACGGCUACCACAUCCAAGGAUGGCAGCAGGCGCGCAAAUUACCCAAUCCCGACACGGGGAGGUAGUGACAAUAAAUAACAAUACGGGGUUCUUUCGGAUCUCGUAAUUGGAAUGAGUACAAUUUAAAUCUCUUAACGAGGAACAAUUGGAGGGCAAGUCUGGUGCCAACAGCCGCGGUAAUUCCAGCUCCAAUAGCGUAUAUUAAAGUUGUUGCAGUUAAAAAGCUCGUAGUUGAAUUUCGGGGUUAGUAGGUUGGUCAUGCCUCUGGUAUGUACUGGUCUCACUGGUUCCUCCUUCCUUAUGAACCGUAAUGCCAUUAAUUUGGUGUUGCGGGGAAUUUGGACUGUUACUUUGAAAAAAUUAGAGUGUUUAAAGCAAGCUAACGCUUGAAUACAUUAGCAUGGAAUAAUGAAAUAGGACGUUCGAUCUUAUUUUGUUGGUUUCUAGGAUUGACGUAAUGAUUAAUAGGGAUAGUUGGGGGCAUUAGUAUUCAAUUGUCAGAGGUGAAAUUCUUGGAUUUAUUGAAGACUAACUACUGCGAAAGCAUUUGCCAAGGAUGUUUUCAUUAAUCAAGAACGAAAGUUAGGGGAUCGAAGACGAUCAGAUACCGUCGUAGUCUUAACCAUAAACUAUGCCGACUAGG
rnacentral:rRNA from 1 species